GAUGAACGCUGGCGGCGUGCCUAAUACAUGCAAGUCGAGCGAACGGACGAGAAGCUUGCUUCUCUGAUGUUAGCGGCGGACGGGUGUGUAACACGUGGAUAACCUACCUAUAAUACUGGGAUAACUUCGGGAAACCGGGGCUUAUACCGUAUAAUAUUUUGAACCGCGUUGUUCAAUAGUGAAAUACGGUCUUGCUGUCACUUAUAGAUGGAUCCGCGCUGCAUUAGCUAGUUGGUAAGGUAACGGCUUACCACGGCAACGAUGCAUAGCCGACCUGAGAGGGUGAGCGGCCACCCUGGAACUGAGACACGGUACAGAGUCCUACGGGAGGCAGCAGUAGGGAAUCUUCCGGCAUGGGCGAAAGCCUGACGGAGAAACGCCGCGGGAGUGAUGAAGGUCUUCGGAUCGUAAAACUCUGUUAUUAGGGAAGAACAUAUGUGUAAGUAACUGUGAACAUCUUGACGGUAACUGAUCAGAAAGCCACGGCUAAAUACGUGC
rnacentral:rRNA from 1 species